UGUAAGCGUAUACCAAAGUUGUUGCAGUUAAAACGCUCGUAGUCGGAAUUUGGCAGUUCCGGAUGUGUGCACGUCGUGUGCGCGCUUUGCGGGAAUUGCUUUUGUGGUCUUGCGUAGGAUGAGGCACUUUUAUUAGUGAACGUCCUCACGCAACCACUUUUUACUGUGAGAAAAUCAGAGUACUCAAAGCAGGCAUUUGCCGUGAAUGUAUUAGCAUGGAAUAAUAGAAUAGGACUUGGUUCUAUUUUGUUGGUUUGUUGGGACUGAGUAAUGAUUAAGAGGGACAGUUGGGGGCAUUUGUAUUUCGGUGCUAGAGGUGAAAUUCUUAGAUUACCGAAAGACAAACUGCUGCGAAAGCGUCUGCCAAGGAUGUUUUCAUUGA
rnacentral:rRNA from 1 species